AACGUAGGGGGCGAGCGUUGUCCGGAAUUACUGGGCGUAAAGGGUGCGUAGGCGGCCGUUUAAGUCCUGUGUGAAAGGCCCCGGCUUAACCGGGGAGGGCCAUGGGAAACUGGACGGCUUGAGUGCCGGAGAGGGUUGCGGAAUUCCCGGUGUAGCGGUGAAAUGCGUAGAGAUCGGGAGGAACACCAGCGGCGAAGGCGGCAACCUGGACGGUGACUGACGCUGAGGCACGACAGCUGGGGGAGCGAACAGG
rnacentral:misc_RNA from 1 species